rnacentral:antisense_RNA from 1 species
CUUGAUCGACCCCAGCCACAACGGCUCGGCCCGGUCCCGCCCGUACGUGGCGAGCAGCGCGUGCGCCUC